rnacentral:rRNA from 1 species
AUUGAACGCUGGCGGCAGGCCUAACACAUGCAAGUCGAAUGGUAACAGGAAACAGCUUGCUGUUUCGCUGACGAGUGGCGGACGGGUGAGUAAUGUCUGGGAAACUGCCUGAUGGAGGGGGAUAACUACUGGAAACGGUAGCUAAUACCGCAUAACGUCGCAAGACCAAAGAGGGGGACCUUCGGGCCUCUUGCCAUCAGAUGUGCCCAGAUGGGAUUAGCUAGUAGGUGGGGUAACGGCUCACCUAGGCGACGAUCCCUAGCUGGUCUGAGAGGAUGACCAGCCACACUGGAACUGAGACACGGUCCAGACUCCUACGGGAGGCAGCAGUGGGGAAUAUUGCACAAUGGGCGCAAGCCCGAUGCAGCCAUGCCGCGUGUAUGAAGAAGGCCUUCGGGUUGUAAAGUACUUUCAGCGGGGAGGAAGGGAGUAAAGUUAAUACCUUUGCUCAUUGACGUUACCCGCAGAAGAAGCACCGGCUAACUCCGUG